ensembl:lncRNA
UUUUUUUUUUUUGGUCUUUUCAGAGCCGCACCCGAGGCAUAUGGAGGUUCCCAGGCUAGGGGUCUAAUCGGAGCUGUAGCCACCAGCCUACACCACAGCCACAGCAACGCCAGAUCCGAGCCACGUUUGCGACCUACACUACAGCUCAGGGCAAUGCCAGAUCCUUAACCCACUGAGCAAGGGCAGGGAUCGAACCCACAACCUCAUGGUUCCUACUCGGAUUCAUUUCCCCUGUGCCAGGAUGGGAACUCCAAGGUAAUAAGAUUUUUAUAUCGGGAUAAAGCAAAUCGCUAUGAGGUGAUGUGCUCAUAUGUUUGGAUUCAACAUCAGCAAAAGGAAUUAUUAUGUGUGGCCCAAAAUGACAUGGUUCAAAAUAUCAACUUUCAUAGAUCCUGUCAGGUGACUAGAAAGACAAAAUCUCAAGUGACAUUUAUGAAACACUGUCAAUAACUCGACUUCAAAUCUGAAGAUACCACGUUACAUAUCACAUAGAAAAUACUAAAAAUAAUAAAUUAUUAAAUGCCCUGAUGAAGAUCUCGGUAAAAUAGGUGGGAAACAGAACUAGAUACUAGAAUUCUUGCCUCUUAAUAUAGUGUCUUUACUUUCUUCCCUUUUUCAAAAAUCUUACACAAAUUUUGUAUUUGUUUUGAUGUACAAGUUUUAAGUAAUGAACUUCCAGAGGACUCAUAUUUUAUGUAACUUGCUUCAUUCAAUGCUUUAUGUCAGCAACUCCACAUAUAGGAGCCUAAUAACUUACUAGUAACAGGGGUGAUGAUGACAAAUAGAGCCAUUUCGAACAUUCUGAAUAUGCUUCUAUUUACUCCCAGUGUUUAGAGUUUAGAGAACGCAGGUAAAAAGUUGAGACUACUACUGCCACGAGCCAUGCAGAAGGCACUGAGUCUCCUGGGACCGGAAAGAGAAAUUGAUUUCUCCAUGUCUUUCAUACUCCACAUCACUACUGGAAAGCAGUUUCUCGGCACAUAACUAUUGAUCUGCUGCUCUGGAGGGUAAAUUAAAUAUGAGAAAACACGUGCGUCAUUCUUCUGAUUCAUGGAAGAUGCCUUUUAAAGUUCAUCAGAGUUGUAAACGCAUGUGGGGAAUAAGUGUGCUCCAUUUACGUGCAAUAAAACAAGAGCUAGUAGGGGCCAAUGUCCCUUCUGAAUUUUGACCCUCAUUAUUCUAUUUCAUUGUCAUAAACAAUUUUGCUAAACCUAGAGCAACUAAAUCUACUACAGUAAAGUGUAAAACCAUUUAAAAUAUGUUACUCUGUACAUUUUUAAUGAUUUUUGGAUAAUGCAUCUGGCUGUGAUGCAUUAAAAGAAAUCAAAUGAAGCCUUUAAUCACUGAAUAUGGAAACCUCUGGUAAGAAAAAACUCUGAACUUUUUAAAAUAGCGCCUCAAAUACUUCAGCACUACUCAUUUUCUAGACUAGAAGUUACAGAUUUUUAAUCAAAUGUGACCCUUCAUAGUUUAAUUAGCAUGAAAUUGAUUAUCUAUAUAACAAUUUCAAGAAGUUUGUAAUAAUCACCCAAAUAUUUUCAGAAUAAUUAGAGAGAUAACAAAAUGAUUCUACUUGCUCUCAGCUAUCAGCAGGUUCAGAAACAUACGGAAGUGAAAGAUUUUUGCCUCUGCGCAAACCUAUUUUAUUUAUUUAUUUUGUCUUUUUGCCUUUUCUAGGGCCGCUCCCGUGGCAUAUGGAGGUUCCCAGGCUAGGGGUCUAAUUGGAGCUGUAGCCGCCAGCCUACACCACAGCCACAGCAGCGCUGGAUCCAAGCCGCGUCUGCAACCUACACCACAGCUCAGGGCAAUGCCAGAUCCUUAACCCACUGAGCAAGGGCAGGGAUCGAACCCACAACCUCAUGGUUCCUAGUCGGAUUCAUUAACAACUGCUCCACGAUGGGAACUCCAAAUCUAUUAUAUUUUAAUCCAGUGUUUCCCAGUCGGGGUGAUUUUGUCCCCCAGAGAACAUAUGGCAAUGUUUGGAGACACUUUCAGUUGUUACAAUUGCAAGGGACAGGGACAGAGAGUUCCAUGGCAUCUAAUGGUAGGUAGAGAACAGGAAUGCUGCUAAACAUCCUGCGAUGCACAGGCCAGUCCCCUACAACAGAGAGUUAUCCGGCCCCAAGUAUCAAUAGCGCCGAGUCUGAGGAACCCUAUUUCCACCUAAUGGUGCCACUUUCAUGUGCAGAUGCUUUUGAGUAAUGACCGUGUGUUCCUUCCUAGUUUCCCAAUAUCAGAAACAGCAACUUAGGAUUUAGUAUAAUGGAAGCAAUUUUUUGCACUGACCUCUUGGUAAACUGGCAUCAUUCCUCAGCAUGCCAAUGGAAAACCUCCUACCUGUACAGAGUCAGUUUUCUCAUUAUCUGCUUAGGUACCAAUGACCGGCUUCAGCCUUGACCGCUGUGUAGAAGCUGCUUCUUAGCGAUGCACACUCCACCUUAGAGAGCUCUCAACUUGGACACGUCGUUC